CUGUCUUGCUGGCUCCCGACCCUGGAUUCCGUAUCUCACUCCUGGUUUUGCAUCCUUUGGCCUUUGUGAUGGAACCUGGUCACUUGGCUUGGAAUAUGGCCUUCUCCUUCCUGACGAUUGAUCUCAGCUCAAAUCACUGGCCUUUCUACUUCAGACUAAAUCAGGGAAGAGUGGUCUGUGUCUUCAAAGUCACCAUGUUCCGGGCUCCUGAUCUGUAAGAGAGAAGUCAUCCAUCCACAGGGAGCCAUGGAGGAGUGGUUUCUUGAGCAUGAGUUAUCCCGGGGACCACCACCUUUGAUGGGGGCACCACUUGCUUCACUGGAAUGUCUGGUUCUGGUCACUGGGGAUUCAAAGCAGAGGCCAAUGUGACCCCUUCCCGCCCAGAGGAGUUCCCAUUCCAAGAGGAGACAUGAGUGGCGUCCUCUCCAAUCACGGACACAGAGAAAAUAAAAGCCAUCAAAAGAACUCCCCCAGCUUCUCUCGAUUAGCCUUGCUCUCUUGCUUCUCUUUCCCUGAUGACCAGUGGAGGAAGCCACCUGCCACUGAUGCAUGGCACAUCGCCACCUGAGCAUGGGCUCCAUUACCCUCCACCCUCCAGCUCCUCUAGAGCCUUCUACUGCCUUGGCCAGUUUUUCUGCUCUCCUGGAGGCUUCCCUUGGCUCUUAGCAUGCUGUAGUGCCUUCAGUCUGAAAAAUCCCAGGAAGCCACCUCCUCCCUCUAGCUGCCACCCUCUUGGUGCUUUCUCUGCAUUUCACUUUUAUUUGGCUUCUGACCCUAGCACUCCCCUGGAGGAGCUUUCGUUAAGAUGACCAGUGGCCUCCAUCUGAUUGCUAGGGCCUCUCGCUGGCAUUUCAGACCUGGUGCACUCAAACUAAACUCUUCCCCCACCGACACUUGCUUCUCAUCCGGGCUUCCCCCAGCUCGGGAAGUGGAGC